AUUGAACGCUGGCGGCAGGCCUAACACAUGCAAGUCGAGCGAGCGGCGGAAGGGUGAGUAAUGCAUGGGAAUUGCCCAGUCGAGGGGGACAACAGUUGGAAACGACUGCUAAUACCGCAUACGAUCGGAUUGCACAGGUGGGAGUAGCUAGUUGGUGAGGUAAUGGCUCACCAAGGCGACGAUCCCUAGCUGGUCUGAGAGGAUGGUCAGGCAAACUGGAACGGUGAAGCAGGCCAGACUCCUGCGUGUGUCAGCAGUGGGGAUUAGUGCACAAUGAGGGAAACCCUGAUGCAGCUAUGCCGCGUGUGUAAAGAGGUCCUUCGGGUUGUGAAGCACUUUCAGCGAGGAGUCGUUACUCGCAGAAGAAGCACCGUCUAACUCCGUGCCAGCAGCCGCGGUAAGUC
rnacentral:rRNA from 1 species